CUUUUUCUUUAGAGCUUUUUAAUAUGAGGAUUUUAUCUUGUUCUUUUUUUUUUUUUAGAAUCUGUUCCUCUGUCCUCUCAUUUUGCUUGCUCGCUAUACUGUGUCUCUCUGAAUUCAGGGGAAUGGCGGUUACUUCUGUUGGUCUUGAAGGCUUGUCCUUUUGCAGGUGCGUCUGUUCCCAGACUGCCAGGAAGCGGUGUCACUGGCGGGAGGGCCAGGGCUUUUCUGCCUUGCCCAGGAGCUGGAUUUUGGUGUCAUUCAAGUCAAUGAACAGCUGAACUGACAUGAACACAAACUGUCACUUCAAGAAUCCAUCUCCGUGGCAAAUAAUGAAGCUGGAAUAAAAAAAGAAACAAAACAUAUUUCCUGUCAGUCAACUGUCAGGGUGUUUAUUUGUUUCUUUAAGCAAAGUACUCAAAUAAGAGCUGGGGAAACAGAUUGUCACUUAUAAUAUUGUUUAAUAAAGCAUUUGGGUGAACUGAAGAUAUUCUUUGUUUAUCUGUCAGGUAAUUCCAAAAUAAACUUCUUUCAUGAUUCUACAGAAACCAGAAAACCUUUCCUUCAAAUUUUCCUAUUCUGAGCAAAAUGUGAAUAAGCUAAAAGAUAC
rnacentral:lncRNA from 1 species